GUAGGUCACAAGCGUUGUCCGGAAUUACUGGGUGUAAAGGGAGCGCAGGCGGGAAGACAAGUUGGAAGUGAAAUCUAUGGGCUCAACCCAUAAACUGCUUUCAAAACUGUUUUUCUUGAGUAGUGCAGAGGUAGGCGGAAUUCCCGGUGUAGCGGUGGAAUGCGUAGAUAUCGGGAGGAACACCAGUGGCGAAGGCGGCCUACUGGGCACCAACUGACGCUGANGNUCNNAAGCGUGGGGAGCAAACAGGAUUAGAUACCCUGGUAGUCCACGCCGUAAACGGUGGAUGCUGGAUGUGGGGACCAUUCCACGGUCUCCGUGUCGGAGCCUACGCGUUAAGCAUCCCGCCUGGGGAGU
rnacentral:rRNA from 1 species